AGAGUUUGAUCCUGGCUCAGGAUGAACGCUGGCGGCGUGCUUAACACAUGCAAGUCGAGCGAGAAAAGUUCUUCGGAGCUUUUCUAGCGGCGGACGGGUGAGUAACACGUGGGCAACCUGCCUCAUAGAGGGGAAUAGCCUUCCGAAAGGAAGAUUAAUACCGCAUAACAUUGUUGAAAGGCAUCUUUUAACAAUCAAAGGAGCAAUCCGCUAUGAGAUGGGCCCGCGGCGCAUUAGCUAGUUGGUGAGGUAACGGCUCACCAAGGCGACGAUGCGUAGCCGACCUGAGAGGGUGAUCGGCCACAUUGGAACUGAGACACGGUCCAGACUCCUACGGGAGGCAGCAGUGGGGAAUAUUGCACAAUGGGGGAAACCCUGAUGCAGCAACGCCGCGUGAGUGAUGAAGGUCUUCGGAUUGUAAAGCUCUGUCUUUAGGGACGAUAAUGACGGUACCUAAGGAGGAAGCUCCGGCUAACUACGUGCAGCAGCCGCGGUAAUACGUAGGGAGCGAGCGUUAUCCGGAAUUAUUGGGUGUAAAGGGUGCGUAGACGGGAAGAUAAGUUAGUUGUGAAAUCCCUCGGCUUAACUGAGGAACUGCAACUAAAACUGUUUUUCUUGAGUGCAGGAGAGGUAAGUGGAAUUCCUAGUGUAGCGGUGAAAUGCGUAGAUAUUAGGAGGAACACCAGUGGCGAAGGCGACUUACUGGACUGUAACUGACGUUGAGGCACGAAAGUGUGGGGAGCAAACAGGAUUAGAUACCCUGGUAGUCCACACCGUAAACGAUGGAUACUAGGUGUAGGAGAUAUUAAGUCUUCUGUGCCGUCGCAAACGCAAUAAGUAUCCCACCUGGGGAGUACGGCCGCAAGGUUGAAACUCAAAGGAAUUGACGGGGGCCCGCACAAGCAGUGGAGUAUGUGGUUUAAUUCGAAGCAACGCGAAGAACCUUACCAAGGCUUGACAUAUACAGGAAUAUUUAAGAGAUUAAAUAGCUCUUCGGAGUCUGUAUACAGGUGGUGCAUGGUUGUCGUCAGCUCGUGCCGUGAGGUGUUGGGUUAAGUCCCGCAACGAGCGCAACCCUUAUGGUCAGUUACUACGCAAGAGGACUCUGGCCAGACUGCCGUUGACAAAACGGAGGAAGGUGGGGAUGACGUCAAAUCAUCAUGCCCUUUAUGACUUGGGCUACACACGUACUACAAUGGCGUUAAACAAAGAGAAGCAAGACCGCGAGGUGGAGCAAAACUCAGAAACAACGUCCCAGUUCGGACUGCAGGCUGCAACUCGCCUGCACGAAGUCGGAAUUGCUAGUAAUCGCAGAUCAGCAUGCUGCGGUGAAUACGUUCCCGGGCCUUGCACUCACCGCCCGUCA
rnacentral:rRNA from 1 species